CACGUCGAUAGGCCGCAGGUCGAAGUCGGGUAACCGACGCAGCCGAGCGGUCCUAAUCGCCCGAUAGAGCU
rnacentral:rRNA from 1 species